rnacentral:rRNA from 1 species
GGUGUGGCAAGUCUGAUGUGAAAACCCGGGGCUCAACCCCGGGCCUGCAUUGGAAACUGUCAUACUGGAGUGUCGGAGAGGCAAGCGGAAUUCCUAGUGUAGCGGUGAAAUGCGUAGAUAUUAGGAGGAACACCAGUGGCGAAGGCGGCUUACUGGACGACAACUGACGCUGAGGCUCGAAAGCGUGGGGAGCAAACAGGAUUAGAUACCCUGGUAGUCCGCACGGUAAACGAUGGAUGCCCGGUGUUUGCGAUAUACAGUGAGCGCCCAAGCGAAAGCGUUAAGCAUCCCACCUGGGGAGUACGCCGGCAACGGUGAAACUCAAAGGAAUUGACGGGGGCCCGCACAAGCGGAGGAACAUGUGGUUUAAUUCGAUGAUACGCGAGGAACCUUACCCGGGCUUGAACUGUAGGCGAACGAUCCAGAGAUGGUGAGGCCCUUCGGGGCGCCUAUGGAGGUGCUGCAUGGUUGUCGUCAGCUCGUGCCGUGAGGUGUCGGCUUAAGUGCCAUAACGAGCGCAACCCCUCUCUUCAGUUGCCAUCAGGUUAUGCUGGGCACUCUGGAGACACUGCCACCGUAAGGUGUGAGGAAGGUGGGGAUGACGUCAAAUCAGCACGGCCCUUACGUCCGGGGCUACACACGUGUUACAAUGGGUGGUACAGAGAGUUGUGUGUACGCAAGUGCAUUCUAAUCAAGAAAGCCAUCCUCAGUUCGGACUGGGGUCUGCAACCCGACCCCACGAAGCUGGAUUCGCUA